rnacentral:rRNA from 1 species
UACAGAGGGCUCAAGCGUUGUUCGGAUUCAUUGGGCGUAAAGGGUGCGUAGGCGGCGCGGUAAGUCGGGUGUGAAAUCUUGGAGCUUAACUCCGAAACUGCAUUCGAUACUGCCGUGCUUGAGGACUGGAGAGGAGACUGGAAUUUACGGUGUAGCGGUGAAAUGCGUAGAUAUCGUAAGGAAGACCAGUGGCGAAGGCGGGUCUCUGGUCAGUUCCUGACGCUGAGGCACGAAGGCCAGGGGAGCAAACGGG